AGCCAGUGAUGAGCUACUUUAUUUCUGACACCUCGUCUGAAAACUGUACCUGCAGUAUUUGAUUAUGCUUUUUUUUGGCUGAGGCUC